GCCUGGAAGCUCAGUUGGUCAGAGCGUGGUGCUGAUAACACCAGUGUGGCAGGUUUGAUCCCCAUAUGGGAAAGCA